ACCCGUGAUCCGGGUUGCGGACAGUGUCUGGUGGGUAGUUUGACUGGGGCGGUCUCCUCCUAAAGAGUAACGGAGGAGCACGAAGGUUGGCUAAUCCUGGUCGGACAUCAGGAGGUUAGUGCAAUGGCAUAAGCCAGCUUGACUGCGAGCGUGACGGCGCGAGCAGGUGCGAAAGCAGGUCAUAGUGAUCCGGUGGUUCUGAAUGGAAGGGCCAUCGCUCAACGGAUAAAAGGUACUCCGGGGAUAACAGGCUGAUACCGCCCAAGAGUUCAUAUCGACGGCGGUGUUUGGCACCUCGAUGUCGGCUCAUCACAUCCUGGGGCUGAAGUAGGUCCCAAGGGUAUGGCUGUUCGCCAUUUAAAGUGGUACGCGAGCUGGGUUUAGAACGUCGUGAGACAGUUCGGUCCCUAUCUGCCGUGGGCGCUGGAGAACUGAGGGGGGCUGCUCCUAGUACGAGAGGACCGGAGUGGACGCAUCACUGGUGUUCGGGUUGUCAUGCCAAUGGCACUGCCCGGUAGCUAAAUGCGGAAGAGAUAAGUGCUGAAAGCAUCUAAGCACGAAACUUGCCCCGAGAUGAGUUCUCCCUGAGACUUUAGGUCUCCUGAAGGAACGUUGAAGACGACGACGUUGAUAGGCCGGGUGUGUAAGCGCAGCGAUGCGUUGAGCUAACCGGUACUAAUGAACCGUGAGGCUUAACCUU
rnacentral:rRNA from 1 species